GCGCAGAAAAUGGAGAUCUGUCGCCGCGGUUGAACUCCAUGCUCUGGGCCUCCUAGCUCCAAUCGCGUGCACGGGUGUGUCACCGGGGCACACAGAUACGGGCCUGCGCUUUCCCGUGCACAUGGUUGUUUUGGGGCACAAGUAAUCUCUCAACGGAGUCAGGCAUGGCCGAAGUACCGCCCUCGUCAUGGCUGGGAUCCAACACCGUGUCAUCUCUGGUAAAGCCUCUUCCAAUAGGUUCUGCAUCUCCUUAUCCUCUGUUCGCACCGAUUAGCACUCGAGUUUGGGCACCGGGGGACGAACGACUGUGUUGCCGUCGGGCGCCGCCACGGGGAGGCCCCUGCGCCGCCGCUCGGACUAAUUGUGGGUGGCUGUGGGUAUGAUAAACUCGCAGCCGUCCAUCUGGUAUUGGGCGGCUCUGAUCAACCGUACUCACACUGGUACGCACCGGUGCAGGGGAGGGGAAGGUUUCUGGCCAUUGAUCGGAUGAGGGAAGGCCAAGAUUAGACGCACUUUCUAGAUUGCUUGCCUCCGUAUCCGACCGCUGGAUCUGGAUGUAGGGUAAUAUGGGGCAUUGAUUCCAUACCAGGCCAUUGGGAUCGAGUACCGACCCAUUUAGGGCUUGUUCGGUUAGCUCUCAAUCCAUGUGGAUUGAGUGGGAUUGGAUGAGUUUGAAUCCCAAACAAGUCAAACUUCUUAGGCCUUGUUCGGUUAGCUCUCAAUCCAUGUGGAUUGAGUGGGAUUGGAUGAGUUUAAAUCCCAAACAAGUCAAACUUAUUAAGAAUUUUUUCCAAUCCCAUCCAAUCCAUGUGUAUUGGGAAUAAUCGAACAAGGCCUUAAGAAUUUUUUCCAAUCCCAUCCAAUCAAUGUGUAUUAGGAAUAACCGAACAAGGCCUUAUGGGAUCGAUCUAAUCUGGAGUGUGGGAAUCUGAUCGAGCGACCCAUAUGACUCAUACCCCUUCAGCCAUGCAAACAUUCAAAUGAGCCCCUCGAGUUUAUGAUAUUGAACCCACCGUCCAAGUAGAGUCAUAAAGAAUAUAAUUUAGAUCCUAGUAUUUACGUGUUAGCCCCUAGGUUCCGUAUAAUUAGUGCAAGUAGUCCAAAAUCCUGUGAAUUAUAAAUAUUAAUCCAAAAAUAGGUUAAUGUGUAUGAAAAUAAAUCCAAGAACUUGAAAAAUUCAUAAUUAAUCCAUUCCAAUUGCAUUAGACUCAUAAUAAUGUUGUCUAUCGUUUAGUAACCUUAUUUCACUAUGUAACUCAGUUAUAAAAAUAACACUCAUUUUAUUUUAUGUUUAACACCUAAAUUUUUCAGGAAAUCAUAACUUCUACACUUUAACCACGAUUCGACCCAUUC
rnacentral:lncRNA from 1 species